GGAUUAGAUACCCUGGUAGUCCACGCCGUAAACGAUGUCUACUUGGAGGUUGUUCCCUUGAGGAGUGGCUUUCGGAGCUAACGCGAUAAGUAGACCGCCUGGGGAGUACGGCCGCAAGGUUAAAACUCAAAUGAAUUGACGGGGGCCCGCACAAGCGGUGGAGCAUGUGGUUUAAUUCGAUGCAACGCGAAGAACCUUACCUACUCUUGACAUCCUCAGAAUCUUGUAGAGAUACGAGAGUGCCUUCGGGAACUGAGAGACAGGUGCUGCAUGGCUGUCGUCAGCUCGUGCUG
rnacentral:rRNA from 1 species